rnacentral:rRNA from 1 species
UUGAAAGGGAAACGAUUGAAGUCAGUCGUACCAGCGGNAUCAACCUUUCGAGUGGGGGUUUUGGAGUUUUUUGAAGAGUGUCAAAACCUUUGAGAUUUCAAAAUAUUCGCUCUUUUGGUGUACUUUCUCGUGGGUAGGUUAACAUCGAUUUUGAUCAUCAUAAAAAGAUUGGAGGAAUGUAGCUUCGAUCUUGUAUUGAAGUGUUAUAGCCUUUGGUAAAUGUGAUGAUUAGGAUCGAGGAUUGCAACGAAUACCCUUUUGGGCUAUCCGCCUGAUCUCUGAUACGUGGCCUUGGUAUCGAAAGCUUGCUUAUGGUAUUAAGGUAUUACGGUCAAAAGGUUAGAACGGAUUACAUUCGUUAAGGAUGUUGACGUA